AGCAAGUCAGCCAUUUUUGGAGGAUACCAUCUCCUGUACACUGUUACCACCCAUCUAGCUAGAGAAAUAAUUACACAAGGCUUGAGAGAGGCCCUUGAUUCCUGGGGACUGGGAAAGGAGAGGCAGGUGGCCCUGACUACUGACAGUGGGACCAACAAUUUUUGGGAAGGACUUCAGAGCCUGCAGAGCUGCUCCCCUUGCAAUUAUCUCCAGUCAAGCACCAGCAGCAAAGCCCCCAGUCCACAUCAACAGCAUAUUUCUAAUUAGAAAGCUGGACAAGCCAUUGCUUUGUUGAAGGCACUACCUUCAAUGUUUCCUUCCCCAACUGUCCCACCAAUAAGCUUGGAUCAAUAAGUGAGGCACUGUUCCAUGUUCUUGAGCCAUCGGAGGACCCCAGUAUGUCUCUCUAGAGACGGCCCAUCACCAGUCAGGUCCUGGUAGAAUCUAUAACCUCCUCCUGGCUGUUGAUGCACUGCCGCUGAUGACCUUACAAUGCCCUUUCUGUGACAAUGGGUGUCUGACAGUAGACUGAAGGUUGCCCACAGUCUAACAAUGCAGUAGGUUAUUGAAUCACCUGUUUGUUUUUUCAGGAAUUUGCACAAUAAGACUGUUACUGGUGUGAAAGCUCUUUCCAGACUACUUUCAACAGUCAAUAAAUGUUGACAGAAAUUU